ACUCGUCGUUCUUCACUUAGGCGAAAAGGGUGAAGAUAACCCUUGGUGCCGAAAUUCCCAUUCCCUCUCUCCCAGCCACGCACCCUCCUCCCCAUCACGCACGGCGCCACCUCUGUUCGUGCUCCAGCCCCUCUCGUCAUUUGCUUGAAAAUUUAGAUUCUCAGCAUUUUGUCUGUCUUUUGUUUUGCAUUCAAUAGUAUCUUCAAAGUUACUAGUAUUUAAUAGCAUUUUCUGGCUGAGAUGGUUCCUAGAAGCUAAAGUUCAUGUCCGUCCAUAUCUUCAAAGUUAAAAUUAAAAUCUAUGUUUUCUAUUAAUAAUGGCAAGAAGAGAAUGUGAUAAAAAAAAUUUGAGAAUCUUAGGGAUCUUAAACUUGCAAUUACAUGUGAAAUAUGACUCAAAGAUGGAACUUUAAUCUGAAUGUACAAUUGAAUACUUUAACUUGUAUAUAAAUUACUAUCUAUGUUGAUACUUUCUUUCUUGAAUAUAUACUUUUGAUUGUCGCAUACAGUUAAGAAGGGAGUUACACAAUUAGAGUGAUGUAGAAAGUGAUGAAGGAAGUGUUGGUAAUUUGAACACUGCCACAAUUAACUAUCUUAUAUGCAUAUUAUUUAUCAUAUUUUCUUGUAGAGUUUACAAGACAUGUUCUGUAGUUGAUCUCAACUUGGAGAUUCGUGCUCCCAAAAGUACUCAAAUGAACCAUGAUAAGAGAUAUCCGCCAUGCUAUGUUCAUCAUGGGAGGACAAUCUGAAGAAUUCAGCUUGGCAUCCUUUCAAAAUAACCGAGGUCAAUGGCGUUUUAUAGAAGAUAAUAGAUGAAAAUGAUGAAAAGCUAAAAUUGCUAAAAGAUAAGCACGGUGAAGUGGUAUACAAGGCUGCCAUAGAUGCAUUGAUCGAAAUAGAAGAAUACACUUGCAGUGGAAGGUACACUGUGCCAGAAAUUUGGAACUGGAAGGAAGGAAGGAGUGCCACACUGAAAGAAAUUAUCUAAUACAUUAUCAGGCAAUUGAAGACUCACAAGUGCAAAAGGAAGGUCUGAUCUUCAGGAGGAUAUGAUAUGAAGAAAAUAUUUUUCAUAGCAAUAUGAGAUGGGGUGGGUAAUAAACCCCAUUUUUAG